UGCCCUAGUAACGGCGAGUGAAGCGGCAACAGCUCAAAUUUGAAAUCUGGCUCUUUUAGGGUCCGAGUUGUAAUUUGCAGAGGGCGCUUUGGCGUUGGUAGCGGUCCAAGUUCUUUGGAACAGGACGUCAUAGAGGGUGAGAAUCCCGUAUAUGGUCGCUAGCCUCCGCCGUGUAAAGCCCCUUCGACGAGUCGAGUUGUUUGGGAAUGCAGCUCUAAAUGGGAGGUAAAUUUCUUCUAAAGCUAAAUACUGGCCAGAGACCGAUAGCGCACAAGUAGAGUGAUCGAAAGAUGAAAAGCACUUUGGAAAGAGAGUCAAAUAGCACGUGAAAUUGUUGAAAGGGAAGCGCUUGCAGCCAGACUUGCCUGUAGUUGCUUAUCUAGACUUUUGUCUAGUGCACUCUUCUGCGGGCAGGCCAGCAUCAGUUUAGGCGGUUGGAUAAAGAUCUCUAUCACGUACCUCCCUUCGGGGUAGGCCUUAUAGGGGAGAUGACAUACAGCCAGCCUAAACUGAGGUCCGCGCAUCUGCUAGGAUGCUGGCGUAAUGGCUGUAAGCGGCCCGUCUUGAAACACGGACCAAGGAGUCUAACAUCUAUGCGAGUGUUUGGGUGUUAAGCCCAGACGCGUAAUGAAAGUAAACGGAGGUGGGAACCUUUUAGGUGCACCAUCGACCGAUCCUGAUGUAUUCGGAUGGAUUUGAGUAAGAGCAUGGCUGUUGGGACCCGAAAGAUGGUGAACUAUGCUUGAAUAGGGUGAAGCCAGAGGAAACUCUGGUGGAGGCUCGCAGCGGUUCUGACGUGCAAAUCGAUCGUCAAAUUUGGGCAU
rnacentral:rRNA from 1 species